CGGCACAGUGGCUCGAUACGUUUGCUUCAUGAGCUACAGCGCAUGUGUCCAAGCCUCGGGUACCAGAGGACCAUCACUACUGGUAGCAUCUCUGGCUGCUGUUGAUCUUGUUUUUGGAGUAAAACACGGUGGAAGCUGAAUUAGUGAGGAUGACUCCUGCUCCUGUCAUCUCUAAGCUCCUCACACAUCUUUACCUGCACAUGAGGAAAAUCACUCCCGUACAAUGCAGAUGUUCAGAGGGAGAUGAUGCCACAUCUGGUCCAGCUGAUGGAAGGUCUUGAAGUUCUCUGACUGGCCUCGACUGAAGAUGGUCGUCUCACUGGAUUUAAGGUUCAGAUGCUCAGUAACAAACUCCACCAAUGAGCCAACAGGGAAGCUUUAGGUUUAUUAAAUGUUGCUAUGAAGGUAUCGCUGUUUUUCUUUGUGAAUGCAAUGUGCUCCAACUGAAACUUGAAUUAGAACUUAGAAGUAAAUCUUUCCAUCUGAAAGGAUUUAGUUGCAUUAAUGACCUCAUAACAUUCUAAUUUUUAUUCCAGUCUUGGCUGGAAAUAGAAUCUCUGUAUUGAUUCAGGUAAAAACUGAACUUCACAGCAUGUUGGAGCAAAACAACCAGAUGAAAACUGUGAUGGUGUUGGAUUGUCAGACCGUAAUGUUGCAGCUCAAAGCAGCUUUUCUAUCUCAGUUCAUUCUGACAUUCAGCUAUGAAUCAACACAGCAGAUGGUGAUCCAUGCUGUGGAAGUCUCACAUCUCCUGAUUUAAUGGAGCUGCUUUGCACUUUUUACACUGUUUAUUCACCAACACUUUAUUUAAUAAAAGUCCCAUCUAGUUUUUAUGAGGAAUGUGAUGUUUUAAUUUCUCUGUGAAUAACUGCAGUCUAAUGGAACAGCUGGAAUUGUAACAUCUGUCCUGAUAUUGAUCAUGAAGUAUUGAUCAGAAUACUUAUGGUCAGCAGUCAUCCCUGAAGUUUUACAUUAAAAUCUUUACUUGUGUUGUGAACUUUAGUAAGAAGCAGAAACGUUAGCGUUGCCAUGGAUACAUGAGUGUUAAAUUCUGUCCUUGUUUCAUUUUGGGAAAUGCAGUCCAGCAGAUGAGUUUGUUUUUACUGCCAGCUACCAUUCAGUCUGAGAUAUUAAGAAUAAAUAAAUAGAAACACAAGUAUCUGAUUGAAGGAACUUCUGCAGAGUCCUGGUUCCAGAACAUGAUGAUAGAAUUAUAGACAAACUUUAACAAAAGCUGCCUGAGAGUUUACAGGUUUUUAUGUUGGAUUUCUUCAGUAAUUUAAUGAGUUAUCAGCAAACAUCGUGUUCAUUUGAUGAACUUCAUUUCCUAAAACAUCCAGAAUUGGAGCUCAUAUCUUUGGCAGCUGUAAAGUUUCUGCUCCUUCAAAGUUCACAACACAAGUGAAUUAAUUCCUAAAACACUCUCAAUGCUGGAGAGCGUUUGUGAUGCUGAAGCAGUGACCAGUUUUUCUGUUUCUUCUCUGGAGAUGCACAAUGAGGGACGUCUGCAGAGACUGAGAAAGAGUCUCACCACAUCCUGACAUGAGGAAAAAGACUUUAUUGAAGACUACAAUGAGAAAAACUAUCCAGACAGCAGACGGCUGCAUUCAAGUCUGUAGCUGCUGAAUUCAUGGAUGAAUCAUCUGGCACUAGAGAAGAAGACCAUCAAACAUCCUUGUCAGCUGAUGGAGGUCCAAGAGUCUCACCGAACAAACAACCUACAGAGUGAAGACCUCAAAUCUGAUUGGACGGCCUCCUGUUCAGCCACGUGUGAACAAAUGCCUCUAAGCUGAUUUGUUUUCUAAAAUAAAUCUAGUUUGAGUCCUAA